UCUAUUGUAUAGUAUUCCAGUGACAGAAUCCACUCAAGAGAGUUGGGGCCGAGGUUAUCAAGGAGCUGAGUUCUGAGUUCAGGUGCCCACGUGGCAGUGGAUGACGCCUCCUGGCCCUUCAGACCGUUGACAUGGCCGGGAGGCCCUAGAAAUCACCUCAAGUCUCCAGUCCAGGACACAGCUGCCUAGGGGAGUCCCAGGGAAAGGCGGCAGAGACUGAAUGGCCUGAAAGGUGACGGACUCCAAGGCGACGACUGUGGAAUCUACCUGAUUCCAAAUCACUGGCAGUUCCAGCGCACAAGGCCCCUUGCGGAGAGGAGGUGAAGAGAAACAAGCUGGGAGGAGGCCCACUGCUUGGCUACAAAGUGGAUGGCCCACCUCCUCAGGUCUCCAGGAAGUUGCAGAAACACAGUGAGGUGACAUUACUGACAGGAAGGAAUCAAGAAGCAGUGGCCUCAUGCUGGCAUCCUUCAGACUGAAGUCCUGGGGCCCAGUUCUGAGUCAGACUGUCUCCUUCCCCCAAUCCCCUUUCAUUUUUCUUUUCUUGGCUCAGGGAAUUUUAACCAGGAAUUGCUUUAAUAGGUAAAAUUGGGCGUAAGUUUGUUCCCAAAUUGACCUUGUUUCCGAACAUGUUACUAGGAAUCUGGGAGAGCCCAACCAGCAUCAUGACUUAUUAGCUGACGAAUCCAGAGUCUGCUCUUAGAGUUCAAAAGUCCCAUUAAUAACAAAUAAUAUAAGAACUGACCCAAAAGGGGUUCAAGGACAUUUAUUAUUAGCAUCUAAGAACAUAAAGCAGGAGAAGGCAGAACUGUACAUCUCAGCAGCUGCCCACAGGAGGAAGACAGAGAAGGCAGUGUCGCCCUGCAGCUUAAGUUAAGCCAGCAGGAAGGUCAGCCACAUGGUGGGACAGCAGCCACAAGGUGGGCGGGGGAGGCUCUGCAGAAAGGCCAGAGAGUCCAGGAAAGGUGCUUCUAAGAGAGAUGGAAGCAAGGGAGAGCUGUGAUUUUCUGAGUAGUUCAGGCAGGCAGGCAAUCUCAGUCAUGCAGGGCUACACUAGUGGGUGGGAAUUCUGCAGAGGGAAAGGACAGUAUCUCAUUAAACGGAUAAUUAUUCCUCUUACCUCCUUAUAAGGCUUAACGUGGUCCCACCUUCUUGAGGGAUGGUCCCUUUGCCAGGCGAUUGGCCUGCCCAACUGGAAUGUUGGGUAUCCACCUAAGUCAUUCUCUUGACUGGAAGGGAACAGUUUCCCUUUAAUGUCACUCUAAGGAACAGAUUCUGUUCCCAGAGAUGUCCUGAAUCUCAGGCUAGGUAGUACACAGGGCCAUGUUGUUGGCCUAGCAUAGAUCUCAUCUUUAGCUUCAAAAUGCAUGUCCUUUCUGUUUUCUCAAGUUUGGAUUUAGGUCAUGGCAUAUAGAAGCCAAGUUGCUUAGCUGCCAAAGACUCCUUUAACUGUGGAACCGGCCACCGUUAAAACCCAGUCAGAUGUGUGUUACACACGGGGCUCAUGUGUGUUGUUUGAUAUGAGUGUUGAACUACAAAGGAACACACGCCCCGCAGUUUGAGAUUCAGCUCCCUCUGAUCCUACACUGAGAACAGUAGACAAUGUUUUAAAUAUCAAAAGCGACUUUCAGCUGCUUUGAAUCUUUUGGGCAAUUUUGGGUGGUUUCACUCUGCCAUUUUCUAAGAUCCUAUAGGAACAGGAGACCAACGACCUUAACAACUGCAUUGCUCAGGCCUCUGCGGACCUGCCUGCCUGGGAAGCAAAGGCGUGCCUCUGCAGUGGGCUUUGGCAGCGGGGAUGUCUCUGUGUCUGUCCUGUAACUACGUCUGCCUUACAAUAAAAUAUUUUGCUUGAC